AUUUAUAAUAUAUUAAUUAUAUGAUAAUUAAUUUCUUUUCUCUAAUAACCGAAUUGAGUGGAAGGUCAUUGAAAGUUAUGGUAAUCGUGAGAUAAAAAAAAGGAAAAUUGUUUUCCAAAAUUAGCAGUCGAUUCUUUCGGAAAAAUCACACACAAAAGGCUAUCAAGUAAAAAGUGUUUUUAUUAAGCGAUAGUGUUGAGAGUCUAAACGAUCGAGCUAAGAGUUGACUAUACGAUAGUUACUCGUUUGAUUGUUGCUAAACGACGAGUAGUAAAGUCUAUACGAUAGGCUUCAUCUUCUAAACGAUCGAGUUAAUUGUCUAUACGAUAGACAGUCUUCAUCUCCCAUUUACCCGAUCGUUUACCUCCUGUUUUCCUCAAUCCAAGAUCAUAUAGAGCCCAUAACUCCUAGAUACCAAGAUAACACUUGUGGUGGUGUUCUAAUUUCGUUCGUGGAUUGAGUUGGACUCGAUUGGGUUCGAGGUGCAUCCAGUUGUUCGUGUUGUUGGUUGUUCUGUUUGUUGCGUUCGAGUGGAUCGUUGGAUGCAUGGGACAUUGAACGAGGGAUACUUGAUGAAGAGUUCUUCAAAGGUAUGCAUACUCUAUCCCUUUUAUCUUCUUAUAGCAUGCUGUAAUUUUGAUUUAUGCAUAAUCUAUUCGUUUCCAUUUUGAUUGUAUUUGUUUGUGUUCGUUCCGAAUGGGAUUUGGAAUGAUCCACUUCCACUGCUCAUAGAGAUCUCUGUUUAGAUUUCUUCAGACGGUACUUUCCUUCGUGAUUCACCAGAGGUUGUGUGUCCUUCGGGAUUCACUAGAGGUGGUGGUUUCCUUUGGAUCCACCAGAGGUCGUGUUUCCUUUAGGAUUCACUAGCGGUGGUGCUUUCCUUCGGAAUUCAUCAGAGGUUGUGUUUCCUCUGGGAUUCACUAGAGGUGGUGUCUCCUUCAGGGUUCAUUAGAGGUUGUGCAUCCUACAGGACUUACUAGAGGUAAGGGCAAGGACGCACUGACAAAUGACAAGAGGAAUCAUUGAACGAGCCACUAGGGACCAGUUUUAAUCUUCCACUCAUGUUUUAAGAUUUCCUUUAUGUUUUUAUUCACUUUUAGUUUUGGUAUUUGGAAUUUACUGUUGAGAUUUGUUUUCAGAAUUAUUUAUUUUCGUUUAUGACUUUUGGGUACCCUAUCAUUUGAAUUUAAUGAACAUCUUCUAAUC